GAAUUAUAACAUUGUGAUUCUUUUUUUCUUCAGGAGGAAACCGUAUCUUCUGAGCUUCCGAAACCAGAACACACUGAUUAUGCUGCCAUGAUGAGUGUUAUAUAUAGUAUGGUGAAGCUGGACUACAUUAUGCAGCAAAGGAUCGUUUCUUCACUUAAUCUCAAAUCGUCGUCAGGAGAACUAGAAAGCUACAGCCUGAUGUGGUCCUUGCGCCCUUUUAUAAACAAUGAUAUCAUGCAUCAAGCUUGGAGGCUUAUUCCAUGAGUCUCGUAGGUGAUGGAAAUGGUAGGAAAGCACAUUUUAGGUGUAGAAAAAUGAAGGGUGCAACGGUUAUGAUAUGGUUUGGAGUUAGGCGGAAGAGUUGUGGAAAAGGCAUGGAAGGUGCACGUUUCUUUGUCAAGGAUGGUUUUGUUGUUGUUGAUGAUACGUGUGAGACGUGCUACGGGAAAAUUGGGUUGUGUGCUUGGUAGGACCCACUUUAGACCCAUAUAAUAAUUUAAAGGGUAAAUUACAAAUAUAUUCCUGAAGUUUGUUUAAAAUACAGAUUGUUUUUU